CCCACUUUAGACAUGCUUCCACAACCCCAGCAUUUUACACAUCACUUCUUAUGACUACCCUUUUUUUUAAUAUUUAGUCCACAACAGGCUAACAGAGGAAAUGCAAAAUGAGAAUCAAGGGACUUUUGUAUGGAAAUCUCUGCCUCCGUUCCCAGGAAACUCAUCCGGUCUCUCGAAGCACAGGACCAGAUGUCAAACUCUGAGCGGAUGCAGAACCAGACUGUUAUCUGAAGUUGCUGAGCCAGACCUACUCAGCAGCUACAAGAAGGAUGAGACCAGGUCCUGACCUUCGAUGACCUCCUUCACCACCACAUACAGAGCUCCUUGCAUUGUUCUCCCUCAGAACGAGGCUGUCAAGGUGACCACACGCACCAUUAUGAAAAUCUGUCACCGUGUCGACGCACAAACUCCCGCCAUCUGUUGGAUCAGGAAAGUAAUGAUUUAUGGUCAUGUUGUCCAUAAAUCAUGUUGUUGGAAAUGAGCAAGGGACAAUGGGCUUAAAUAAA